CCAAAGGCUCUUUUAAGAGCCACUCCAUGCACAAUCAGAGGAGCUGU
rfam:Nestor notabilis contig3717, whole genome shotgun sequence.